rnacentral:tRNA from 1 species
UGCCCUGUGGUGUAAUUGGCAACACAUCUGAUUCUGGAUCAGAAAUGUCUAGGUUCGACCCCUAGCAGGGCAG